CCUACGGGAGGCAGCAGUAGGGAAUUUUCGUCAAUGGGCGCAAGCCUGAACGAGCGAUGCCGCGUGAGUGAAGAAGGCCUUCGGGUCGUAAAGCUCUGUUUCUGGGGAAAAAAGGCAGCAUCAGUAAAUGUUUUCUGACUGAUGGUGCCCCUCCAGAAAGUCCCGGCUAACUACGGGCCAGCAGCCGCGGUAAUACGUAGGUGGCGAGCGUUAUCCGGAAUGAUUGGGCGUAAAGGGUGCGCAGGCGGUCCUGCAAGUCUGGAGUGAAACACAUGAGCUCAACUCAUGCAUGGCUUUGGAAACUGGAGGACUGGAGAGCAGGAGAGGGUGGUGGAACUCCAUGUGUAGCGGUAAAAUGCGUAGAUAUAUGGAAGAACACCAGUGGCGAAGGCGGCCGCCUGGACUGUGGCUGACGCUGAGGCACGAAAGCGUGGGGAGCAAAUAGGAUUAGAUACCCGAGUAGUC
rnacentral:rRNA from 1 species